rnacentral:rRNA from 1 species
AUUGAACGCUGGCGGCAGGCCUAACACAUGCAAGUCGAACGAGUGGCGGACGGGUGAGUAAUGUCGGGGAAACUGCCUGAUGGAGGGGGAAAACUACGGGAAACGGUAGCUAAUACCGCAUACUAUCAGAUGUGCCCAGAUGGGAUUAGCUUGUGGGUGGGGUAACGGCUCACCAAGGCGACGAUCCCUAGCUGGUCUGAGAGGAUGACCAGCCACACUGGAACUGAGACACGGUCCAGACUCCUACGUGAGGCAGCAGUGGGGAAUAUUGCACUAUGGGCGAAAGCCUGAUGCAGCCAUGCCGCGUGUGUGAAGAAGGUCUUAGGAUUGUAAAGCACUUUCAGUUGGGAGGCGUUACCAACAGAAGAAGCACCGGCUAACUCCGUGCCAGCAGCCGCGGUAAUAC